AUUGAUGUGUAUGAAAAGGAAAAGAAGGAGAUGGAGGAACGACCUACAAGAAGACAGAUACAGAAAAGAUCACGGAUGUGGGAUCACUUUUCAGAGGUACUAGUUGGUCGUGUUCUCAAGUUUGGAAAGUGCAAGUAUUGCAAUCGUGAUAUCAAGGCCGUCCCAGAGAUUAACGGUACAUCUGCAUUAAACAGUCAUUUUAGUACUUGCAAGUAUAAUCCUCAUAAUGAUAAGAAUAAGAAUCGAGGUACUUUGCAAGUUAUCCAAGGGGAAAGUCCUUCAGUGCAUAAAUUUGAUCCUGAAGCACUAAGGAAAGUUAUUGCUAAGAUGAUUAUAGUAGAUGAGCUUCCAUUCACAUUUACUGAAAAAGCUGGUUUUAGAGAAGUGAUGUCAAUUGCAUGUCCACGUUUCAAUAUGCCUUCUAGAAGAACAUGCACUAGGGAUGUUGUGAAGCUUUAUUUUGAAGAGAGAGCAAAGCUGAAACUUUUUUCCAAACAAUAAUGUCAAAGAGUGUGUCUCACUACUGAUGGUUGGACUUCUCAAACACAAGAUUGUUAUAUGACAGUCACGGCACAUUUUAUUAAUCCUGAAUGGAAUUUGCACAAGAAAAUCAUUAGUUUUUUUCCUAGUAAAAGGUCAUAAGGGAGAUGAUAUUGGAAAGUCCUUAGAGCAAUGCUUGAUGGAGUGGGGAAUAAACAAAGUUAUGACAAUAACUAUUGAUAAUGCUAGCACGAAUGAUGGUGGUGUAGGUUACAUACGGAAGAAAAUGAUCAAAACUGGAAAUAGCAUAGCUGAAGGUAAAUAUUUGCAUAUGAGAUGUGCUGCCCAUAUUAUAAAUCUGAUUGUUACUGAUGGUCUAAAAGAGUUGGAUGAAUCAGUUAAGCGUGUGUGACCUGCGGUUAGAUAUAUAAGAAAUGAGCCAUCUAGAAUUACAAGAUUUAAAGAACUUGCUCAGUUAGAAAAGGUGGACAGUGAGGCAUUCUUGAGUUUGGAUGUAUGCACUAGAUGGAAUUCCACAUACCUAAUGUUAGCAACCGCAAUCAACUUUGAGAAAGUGUUUGCGAGGUAUGAGGAAGAAGAUCCACUCUAUACAUUAGAUUUAACUAGUGAGAAAGCUCCUGGUAUUCAUGUUGAUAGUGAUUGGGAGAAUGCUACGAAAAUGGCUGAAUUUCUUGGACAGUUUUAUCACCUUACUCUUAGUGUUUCCGCCACACUCCAUGUCACCAUGAAUCAAUUUGUUAUGGAUAUUGCUGAAAUCAAUGUUGUGUUGGAAGAGUGGGCUGAUAGUGAUGAUAUUUUGCGCAAAACUAUGGCCAAGAAAAUGCAAGAUAAAUAUGAUAAGUAUUGGGGACGUUGGAAUGAGGAGGUGGAGAAUGAAAGGGGGAAGGGGAAAGGAAAGAAAAAGGAAGAGGAGAAUGUGAACAUGUUUGUAUUUGUUGCAACUGUUCUUGAUCCAAGAUUCAAGCUUUCAAAUUUCACAAAACUAGCAAUUGAAGAAAUGUAUGGUGAGUUAAAUGGAGGAAAAGCUUGGGAGGCAAUGAAAACAUUUAUGCAUGCUUUGUUUUAAGAGUACAAAGCUAAGUAUGCACCAAGUGAUGCAAGCAAACAUGUGCGAGCUCCACAAUCUGAACCAACUCAAAAAAGGGAAGGAAGGAAAUUGGUGUCUCGGAUAAAUAAAAAGUUGAGAGUUGGUGGUGAUGGUGAAGCUAGCAUGAGCAAAUUUGAAUAUGAGAAAUACCUAGAUGAAGAGAAUGAAGUGAAUAGGGAUGAUUUUGACAUUCUAAAAUGGUGGGAGAACAAUGCUACUAGAUUCCCAAUAUUGGCAAGAAUGGCCUGUGAUGUGUUGGCUAUUCCGGUACCAAUGGUUGCGUCUAAGUCGGCAUUUAGCACAAGUGGUCGCAUCUUAAAUGAAUUUAGAACCUCGCUUACACCAUUCAUGGUCCAAGCUCUUGUUUGUGCCCAAGAUCGGCUAAGGGGUUCUAUUACUAUCAACAUUGAAGAAGAUGAGGAGGAAUUAUUAAGAUUGGAAAAGGGUAACAUAUUGUGAUUGUUUUCUAUGUAAUUUUCUAUAUUUCUAACUUCCUAUGCUUAUUACAUGUUUAUUUCAUUCUUUUUCAGAACUAAUUGAAGAGUUUGGUAGUAUAAAUAAUUCAAACCGGAAGCAAGUAGUAGCAAGUCUGUUUGCAAGCCAUCUUGGGCUGAGCCAUCUUGCCCACCUCCAUCCUCUACUUAAACAUUGGUGAGUUGAAAAAAAUUGUCUUUCUUUUGUUCAUGCUUUUAGGUUUCAUUUAUUUUUUCUAUAGUAGACCAACUUUGAUAUUUUCAAAUGCUGAUGUAAUGCAAUUGUUGUAUCAUUCAAAAGAUGCACACCACAGCCAUGCGGUUUCCUCACAAAUUGUUAUAUGUCAUGUAAAUGCAAAUAUUGAUGUAAUAAACCUCAUGUAAAUGUUGUUCUCAUGGAAAUGUUGCUUUAUGCACCUCAUGUACUUUAUUUUCCAAAUUAUAGGCUUAUAUACAUCACUAGAUUUGCUUAAUAGUAUUGUGUGGUAUCUAGUAUUCUAUUUUAACCAAAUUCUGUACUAUCUAAAAAAUGGCAGAUUGGCUCUCUUGGCUGGAACAUGGGAUGGUCAAGAUGCUCAUGUUCAUGAUGGCAAAUUGGGAGUCUUACUGUUGGCUGCUCUUCAACUUCAAGUGCCGGAACUUUGUUAUCUACUAAUCUAUUGUCAUUUAUCACUAUUAGUAUGUGUUGUUGAACACUUGAACUUGGACUUUGGUUAUGUCUAGUGCUGGAACUUGGACUACAAGUUUGUCACUCUGUGUUAUUUAACUUGGACUUGGUUAUGUAUUGUGCUGGAACUUUGGUUAUGUAUCUAUUGAACCUUGUUUAGCUUUGGUUAUUGUGCUGGAACUUGGACUUGAUUAUGCAUGUUUCAAUAUUCUGGUAUCCUUAUAUUUGAUAUCACAUAUAUGUUCUAC
rnacentral:lncRNA from 1 species